rnacentral:rRNA from 1 species
AUUGAACGCUGGCGGCAGGCCUAACACAUGCAAGUCGAGCGGAUGAAGGGAGCUUGCUCCUGGAUUCAGCGGCGGACGGGUGAGUAAUGCCUAGGAAUCUGCCUGGUAGUGGGGGAUAACGUCCGGAAACGGGCGCUAAUACCGCAUACGUCCUGAGGGAGAAAGUGGGGGAUCUUUGGACCUCACGCUAUCAGAUGAGCCUAGGUCGGAUUAGCUAGUGGGUGGGGUAAAGGCCUACCAAGGCGACGAUCCGUAACUGGUCUGAGAGGAUGAUCAGUCACACGGGAAGUGAGACAGGGUCCAGGCCCCUACGGGAGGCAGCAGUGGGGAAUUUGGGACAAGGGGGGAAAGCCUAACCCAGCCAGGGCGCGUGUGUGAAAAAGGUCUUUGGAUUGUAAAGAACUUUAAGUUGGGGGGAAGGGAAGUAAGUUAAAACCUUGCUUUUUUGGCGUUACCAACAAAAAAAGCACCGGCUAACUGCGU